GGGGUUUUGCCCCGCCCUAAUGCGGCUUCCGGCAGUGGAAACGGUUGCAAGCCCGUGCGAACGCAGAGCAGGGA
rnacentral:ribozyme from 1 species